AUGAGCUCGGCCUCGGCGCCUCGUGAUGAUGCCGCUAUUCCUCCCUCCGUAGCCACGACGAGGUACGCUCGUUCAUACAGCGACCGCCGUCUGUCAAUUGAUUCAUCUGACCGGCCGAUCGUUGCAAGGGAGGAGGAGAGGAACGACGUCAUCGCGAGGCGGACGAAGAGGAUGACGUACUCGAGGGGGCUCCUGCUCGCCGUCGGCAGCUUGGAGGCAUGCCGACUUGGCCAAGCACCCCGAUGA
rnacentral:rRNA from 1 species